UACGUAUGGUGCAAGCGUUAUCCGGAUUUACUGGGUGUAAAGGGAGCGCAGGCGGCACGGCAAGCCUGAUGUGAAAGCCCGCGGCCCAACCGCGGGACUGCAUUGGGAACUACCGGGCUGGAGUGCUGGAGAGGUAGGCGGAAUUCCUAGUGUAGCGGUGAAAUGCGUAGAUAUUAGGAGGAACACCAGUGGCGAAGGCGGCCUACUGGACGGUGACUGACGCUGAGGCUCGAAAGCGUGGGUAGCAAACAGG
rnacentral:rRNA from 1 species